rnacentral:lncRNA from 1 species
GUUCCAUAGAGACAGGUAGAUUAGUACAGAAAAAAGACAUGGCUAAAGAGGUGCACCAGUUUCCAUUUUAAGUGCCUAUAUUUAAGUAUUUAAAUUUUUCUCACCUUUACAUUUUGGACUAAGCUUUUUGGUCUUCACCUUUGCUCCAAAAGUCUCUCCUAAGUGAUAGCAUGAACUUAACUGGAAACAUAUCCUUUUUUUCCAACAUAACAGAAAUUUCAUCAAAAGCAGCUACUGUUGGUAGUUGAAAUAUGGCAUGGAGCAACUCUCCAAGUAUGUUUCCUUCCACUGUGACAAAGAAAUCUAAUUAGAACUGUGCCUUGAUCGAGAUGUUGACAGCUGUAUUCAGAUCAUUCUGAGUGCACAGACAGGGAAUACAGUACUGAACUCGCACAGAUUAGACAGAUGCUGAAUGGGAGAUGAGCAGAAGUAGUAACCGUAAGGAAGAUAAGUACAGACCCUGGAUAAAAUGAGAAGUGCUUCACGAGGUCCUUGACUAGACAGAGGUACACAGGAUUCACUUGGUAUUAAGAGUCUGGUUCACAAGUAUUGGUUUCCUCUCACAUCCCCAGAAGGAAAUUCCCAAGGAUGCUGUAAUUUUCAUAAGUACAGAUGAUUCCAGAAGUUCCUCCAGCAUGUUAGAGCUAUGCUCUUGCUACAAGUGGUGAGAACAUCCCAUGUAAAGCCCUGGGAAUAGUGAGGAUUUGAGAGAGGGCCACCAAGAAGAAAAUGGUAACCAGAAAAGUGGCGUUUAACUCUCAACCAGUAUUUCAGAGCAAUAAAU